rnacentral:rRNA from 1 species
AUUGAACGCUAGCGGGAUGCCUUACACAUGCAAGUCGAACGGAGUGGCGAACGGGUGAGUAAUGUAUCGGAACGUGCCCAGUCGCGGGGGAUGACUACGCGAAAGCGUAGCUAAUACCGCAUACUCUUGGCGCGGCCGAUAUCGUAUUGGCUGGUUGGUGGGGUAAGGGCUCACCAAGGCGACGAUCCGUAGCUGGUUUGAGAGGACGACCAGCCACAAUGGGACUGAGGCACGGGGCAGACGCCGCGGGUGGGCAGCAGGGGGGAAGUUUGGACAAUGGGGAAAACCCGUAUCCAGCCAUCCCGCGUGUGGGAUGAAGGCCUUCGGGUUGUAAAGCACUUUUGGCAGGAAAGCGGUACCUGCAGAAGAAGCACCGGCUAACUACGUGCCAGCAGCCGCGGUAAUUC